rnacentral:pre_miRNA from 1 species
GGUCCUUCACGAGUCUUUUUGCGGUCUGGGCUUGCUGUUCGUGAUUCCACCGGAAGCCCUUACCCCAAAAAGCAUUCGCGGAGGGCA